GAUGAACGCUGGCGGCGUGCCUAAUACAUGCAAGUCGAGCGAACAGACGAGGAGCUUGCUCCUUUGAUGUUAGCGGCGGACGGGUGAGUAACACGUAGGUAACCUACCUAUAAGACUGGGAUAACUUCGGGAAACCGGAGCUAAUACCGGAUAAUAUUUCGAACCGCAUGGUUCGAUAGUGAAAGAUGGCUUUGCUAUCACUUAUAGAUGGACCUGCGCCGUUUUAGCUAGUUGGUAAGGUAACGGCUUACCAAGGCAACGAUACGUAGCCGACCUGAGAGGGUGAUCGGCCACACUGGCACUGAGACACGGUCCAGACUCCUACGGGGGGCAGCAGUAGGGACUCUUCCGCAAUGGGCGAGAGCCUGACGGAGCAACGCCGCGUGAGUGAUGAAGGUCUUCGGAUCGUAAAACUCUGUUAUUAGGGAAGAACAAACGUGUAAGUACCUGUGCACAUCUUGACGGUACCUAAUCAGAAAGCCACGGCUAACUCCGUG
rnacentral:rRNA from 1 species